CAAUCUGUCAUGCCAGCCCACAUUGUCACUAAAAGUUUGCUUGUUUAUCCUUUUUUCAGCAAAGUUCCUCUGCCUAUGGAAACCUCCUGCUCUGCCUGCACAUACCCAGAUUGGGCCACGGAUGCAAGGCAGCAGCAGGUGGCAGAGGAAGCUGAUGGAUGUGGACUCAAACCUAGGACUGCCUCUUCUGAGCUAUACAACUCCGGGCCAGUGGCUUCAUUUCUCUGAAUCUUCAUUCCCUCAUCUGGAAAAUGGAGACCACAGACCUUCUUCCUGGGCUGAAGCAAAUGAGAUAGUGCAGCAAUAUUUGUCAAGCAUCUGUUACAUGCCUGGUGCUGUUCUGGACAAUGGAGAGCUGGUGGUGAAUAAGACCAAGUCAUCGACAUCAUGGAGCUUACGUUCAGGGGGUCUUGACAAGAACUUAGAAGACCAAAUUUAAAAAGAUAAUCUCAAGUGUAGUAAGUCCUGUGAGCAAAAAAGAAACAUGGAAAAAUAGACUUCUGUUUUACAUGGGGAUUAGGAGCUCUUAAUAUUGGAGCAGACACUCGUGUCAUGUGAGGAGGAGAGUGGAUUUCAGGUCAAUGGAGCUGCCAGUGCAGCAGCCUGAGGGAGGAGUUCAUCUGGCCCAGGAAGGAGCAGCCCUGCCAGGAGGUUGAUGUGGACACAGGGGACAGGACUUGGGGAAGUGGGGAUGGGGUGGGGAAUGAGAUGAGAGGGGGCAGUGCUGGGUCAUGAAGAGCCCGGAAGCUCCGUGUGGGGUCUUACAUUGGAGUCUACCAGAUGGCUCAUGCGAAGUGCCUGUCAUAUGGGUUCUCACAGCUCUCUUGGAGAAAUGAUUCUUCGCCACCCACCACCUGCCAGACCCCAUGCUGGGCAAGACAGCAGAGAUGAGUGAGCCACAUUCCCCUUUCUUCACACCACCUCAUUUCUUUCCCUUCCUCCAUUCCCAACUCCUAGGUCUUAUUCCUAAGAACUGAAGACCACCUGGGAGGUUUCCAGAUUUUGAGCAUUUUGCUCAGUUCUGGCAUCACAGUCUAAAAUAGGUCUGAAGAAUGUCCUGGGUGAGAAAAAGUAUUUGUUUUCCUUACCAGAUGCAUAAAAAAAAAAAAAAAAACAGAAAAGAGAAUCUCCUUUUUUAUUGAACUUUCUAAUCCAUUUUCUCUGCAGCUGAGAACAAAUUUACCAAGGCUGCAUCUGAGACGUUGUCAUUGCAGGAAAGUGAAGGGUUCUCAGGCACAGAGAAUGUGAGAAGAGCCUUGCUCUCAUGUUGCAAUGUUACAGACACUUUCCAAACAUCAGUGCAUGUGGCCUCUCCCAGUCUUCUUGGUGAAGGUGUGUAAGAAUAGAAGCUAACAUGGACAGGGACAUACUAUGUCACUGGCACUCUUCUAGGCCCUGGGGGAGUAGAGAUCCAGGGUUCCCUCUGAAGGGCUUGACCUAAUCUUCACUAUGCCGAAGUAAGGAUCAGAUAUUGUCCACAUUUUGGAGAAAGAAGAAAAAAAAAAGAAACCAAAUAUUAGAGCAGAAAAGAUCAGGUCAUACAUCUCAGAAGUGGGUGACAAAGUGUUCAAAAUUACCCAUGAGCUUGACUUGACCAAAUUUUAUAGUCAAGCUUGCCUCCUUCCUACAGGCUCCUCAGUUUUGGCCGUACCCAUUUAAGCAAGCACCAAGGUGCAGAACAGUGUGUUCUGAGGUUCCAAUCACAAAGAGAAAUCUUGCUAACUUACCCAGGUAAAUGCUGUUUGCUCAGUCUCACUGCCCACCAGCCUUCCCCCAAAGUCCUUGCUAGCACUGUAACUCCUCCCUCUAAAGAAAAGAUGUCUUCUGUUGGAUUUUGAGAUGUGUAAAUAUCUUGAAGUCAAAUGUUCUCUCUAUUGCAAUAGCCUUUUGGAAUAAAGUCUCUUCGAUCUUAAAUCCAGAUUGGUUUUUC
ensembl:lincRNA